rnacentral:rRNA from 1 species
AGCCUUAGGAAUGAUCUAAGGUGUGCCCUGCCCAGUGAUUUUUUUAACGGCCGCAGUACCUUGACUGUGCUAAGGUAGCGUAAUCAGUUGGCUUUUAAUUGGAGUCGAGAAUGAACGGGUAAACGGGGGUUAGCUGUCUCUAGUUUGUUUAAUUGAACUUACUUAAAGGGUGAAAAUUCCCUUAUCUAGAAAAAAGACGAGAAGACCCUUGGAGUUUUGAUUAAUUGUUUUCUACACCUUUCUUUGUUGGGGCGACACGAAGGCAAAUUAACCCUUCUUAAAAUAUUUGACUUGACGGUUUUUUCAAGUAAGAGUAAACUACCCUAGGGAUAACAGCAUAAUGUUUAAUAAAGCUUGUGACCUCGAUGUUGGACUAGGAACUAAAUGGCUAGCCGUCAAGUUAGUUUGUUCUGUUCUAACUUAUCCUCCU